AGGUAAAUCAUUUUUCUUGGUUUUGCUGGAUUUUCUGGACUCAUCAGGUUCCACCAGGAAGUUCUGUCCUCUCUUCCUCUAUGAUAAAACCAACAGAGGACAUAUCAGUUUUGAUGGUGGCUCUUCUGAGAGUGACCUGUGGGCACCAACCUGUAUCCCAAGGCAGGUAUUUGAUGGUGGUAGAACCCAACAAGUUUGGCAUGUGAAUAGAUGACCCUAUGGAACAGAUUAGCCUGUAGCUUCAGGCACAGAAGAUUAAGGCUCAAAAUAGACUAUUUUGUAGAUGAUAUGAGCUAAGCUCACCUAGGCGUAGCUCAUAACAUGAACAAAACCCAAAAAGCAUUCCAGAACAGAAGAUCCUGACCUCAUCCAGCAAUAAGUUCCUGAGAAGACUUGUCAACUGGCUCUCGGUGAAGAAGGCAGACAAAGGGUUAAGAGCCCGGGAUGGACAGCGAAGUAAGGAGAGGACAGUCUGCAAGGGCAAGUCCUCCUUUCUGCCAUGAAAUGUGGUUCUGCAAUCUUAGCCUAAUUGCAUUGGGGUGUCGGUAGCAUGUCAGCACUGUAUAACAUCUAGCGAGGUUAAGACCAUGUUAAUUUGUACACACAAGGGGAUUGAAGGAAUUAGGAAGGGGGAGGAAGAGAAAGUAUAUGAGGGAGGAGGAGGAGGGAGGACACUGAAACAUGAAAAUGCUGUGCUUGUGUGGUGUGGUUUUGUUGUUUUUGUUUGUUUUUUUCUUCAUUUCCAAAGCAGGAAUACAAAUGAUCCCAACAAAGCCCAAGCUGUCCUGAAACCCUGUAGCCAAUUAGUGCACAUCAAUAUUUAAUCAGAUCUAUGCUAUUGUGCAGCCCGGGCUGUGCUACUUGAGGCCUUGCCACGCUAAUUCUCUCCUCCCAUCACAGACACACUGUUAUGACACAUAAUGAUAUUGUCAAUUAAUAAUUUAAAGCAUUUUUUCUCCUCUUUCUUUCUCC